ACGAUGACGGAGCGAUUCUUACCCAAACAAUACAGCGCUAGCUAACGGGUCUCGUGGCUGUGUUUCGUAUUGACAAUUAGUGCACUAGGUAGGUCACUAGAACGCUGUUUGUGCACCACAAAUCAAGUGCGCUUAAAUAGGGAGGAUGGAGCGGUUUGAGCUUCGGCCCUAGGCGGCUAAUUCCUUGUUAUUUUUACACUACAUCAUAUAAACGACAUGAAAUGUAACACAGUUGUAACUUAACACCGCUAAUACACCACAUAUCUGGUAUUAUUCUGUAUUUUUAUAUUUAGCUUUGUUUAUUAUUAUUAUUUCCUCUGUUCAUCUAUUUAAAACCACGGUUGUCGCUACAUAAUGUCGUGUAUUAUAGAGUUACAAAGGGGCGGAAAGUUUCGGUAAACUUACUGAAACUUUCAACGGGAACUUAAUCUGGUACUUAAUCUUAAUUUAUGGGAAUUAUUUGUAACUAUAGGGAAAUGUAUAUAAACUAUAUGAUAUAGAAACAUAAAUAAACAUGUUGUUUGGUCAUAAGCAGACAU